rnacentral:rRNA from 1 species
CACUUGGAAACAGGUGCUAAUACCGUAUAACAAUCGAAACCGCAUGGUUUUGAUUUGAAAGGCGCUUUCGGGUGUCGCUGAUGGAUGGACCCGCGGUGCAUUAGCUAGUUGGUGAGGUAACGGCUCACCAAGGCCACGAUGCAUAGCCGACCUGAGAGGGUGAUCGGCCACAUUGGGACUGAGACACGGCCCAAACUCCUACGGGAGGCAGCAGUAGGGAAUCUUCGGCAAUGGACGAAAGUCUGACCGAGCAACGCCGCGUGAGUGAAGAAGGUUUUCGGAUCGUAAAACUCUGUUGUUAGAGAAGAACAAGGAUGAGAGUAACUGUUCAUCCCUUGACGGUAUCUAACCAGAAAGCCACGGCUAACUACGUGCCAGCAGCCGCGGUAAUACGUAGGUGGCAAGCGUUGUCCGGAUUUAUUGGGCGUAAAGCGAGCGCAGGCGGUUUCUUAAGUCUGAUGUGAAAGCCCCCGGCUCAACCGGGGAGGGUCAUUGGAAACUGGGAGACUUGAGUGCAGAAGAGGAGAGUGGAAUUCCAUGUGUAGCGGUGAAAUGCGUAGAUAUAUGGAGGAACACCAGUGGCGAAGGCGGCUCUCUGGUCUGUAACUGACGCUGAGGCUCGAAAGCGUGGGGAGCAAACAGGAUUAGAUACCCUGGUAGUCCACGCCGUAAACGAUGAGUGCUAAGUGUUGGAGGGUUUCCGCCCUUCAGUGCUGCAGCUAACGCAUUAAGCACUCCGCCUGGGGAGUACGACCGCAAGGUUGAAACUCAAAGGAAUUGACGGGGGCCCGCACAAGCGGUGGAGCAUGUGGUUUAAUUCGAAGCAACGCGAAGAACCUUACCAGGUCUUGACAUCCUUUGACCACUCUAGAGAUAGAGCUUCCCCUUCGGGGGCAAAGUGACAGGUGGUGCAUGGUUGUCGUCAGCUCGUGUCGUGAGAUGUUGGGUUAAGUCCCGCAACGAGCGCAACCCUUAUUGUUAGUUGCCAUCAUUCAGUUGGGCACUCUAGCAAGACUGCCGGUGACAAACCGGAGGAAGGUGGGGAUGACGUCAAAUCAUCAUGCCCCUUAUGACCUGGGCUACACACGUGCUACAAUGGGAAGUACAACGAGUUGCGAAGUCGCGAGGCUAAGCUAAUCUCUUAAAGCUUCUCUCAGUUCGGAUUGCAGGCUGCAACUCGCCUGCAUGAAGCCGGAAUCGCUAGUAAUCGCGGA